CAUCGUAUCGAGUGAGUAAAUUACGAAAACAAUGUACACAGUACAUUAAUUUCAUAUUACUUUAGUCUUCGCUUAAACACAAUAUGUUGAGAAAGUAAACGAAUGAAGAAAAGUUUGUGGGUUUUGUUUUGUUUUUCAUAAUUGUUUCAUGUGAUCCUACAGCAACAUGGCCCAGAAGCCAGGGUGGAGAUCCUUAUAUUACAGGAUUGUGGAUGUUUGAGAAUACAUUGUCUGCUCUCCCAGAGACCUGGGUUCAUGUACAAGGAGACGGAACUAAAGGAUCUGGUGUCUUUUCGUUUUUAUUUUAUUUUGUAUCAAGUACCCACUUCAUCAUGUACAUGAAAUUUGUUGAAAAGAAUGGAAAUGUAAGAAAUUUGAGUGCAGUGUUCUCAAAAGAAACCAGUCUAAGCAAAGAAUUAUGGGACUUUUAUGUCACCGUGACCCAUCAACAUGGAAUUCCAGUUGGAAAUAUACAAGAUAUCCUCAGAAAUGACACCUGUCUGCAAUGAAGAUAUGGAUUUGGAUACAAAACUGAGACAACUUGCUACGUAUUUGUCCAUGGCAUGAAAAUCGCAACUUAGAAGUUGCAUCCAUCAUUCAUUCCCAAUGGUCUAAGGACUUGCUUCUGUAGUUCAGAUCCUUUACUCAGCGCUUUGUCUCAAAUUUCUGCCCUUGACAUGUUUAUUCCAUGCUCUUUAUCUGUCAUUCAGUGAAUAAGUUCUUCUCCUGCCAUUAAAAAUUUAUAUAAAGUUAUUUAUCAUGAAAUCUACUUAGUAUUAAAUAGGAAUCUUCAAUAUGGGACUCUUUUUUAUGUACGUGUGAGUGUAGGGUGUGUAAG